rnacentral:rRNA from 1 species
UACGAAGGGGGCUAGCGUUGUUCGGAAUUACUGGGCGUAAAGCGCACGUAGGCGGAUUGUUAAGUCGGGGGUGAAAUCCCGAGGCUCAACCUCGGAACUGCCUUCGAUACUGGCGAUCUUCGAGUCCGGGAGAGGUGAGUGGAACUCCGAGUGUAGAGAUGAAAUUCGUAGAUAUUCGGAAGAACACCAGUGGCGAAGGCGGCUCACUGGCCCGGUACUGACGCUGAGAUACGAAAGCGUGGGGAGCAAACAGG